GACGAACGCUGGCGGCGUGCUUAACACAUGCAAGUCGAACGGAAAGGCCCUGCUUUUGUGGGGUGCUCGAGUGGCGAACGGGUGAGUAACACGUGAGUAACCUGCCCUUGACUUUGGGAUAACUUCAGGAAACUGGGGCUAAUACCGGAUAGGAGCUCCUGCUGCAUGGUGGGGGUUGGAAAGUUUCGGCGGUUGGGGAUGGACUCGCGGCUUAUCAGCUUGUUGGUGGGGUAGUGGCUUACCAAGGCUUUGACGGGUAGCCGGCCUGAGAGGGUGACCGGCCACAUUGGGACUGAGAUACGGCCCAGACUCCUACGGGAGGCAGCAGUGGGGAAUAUUGCACAAUGGGCGGAAGCCUGAUGCAGCAACGCCGCGUGCGGGAUGACGGCCUUCGGGUUGUAAACCGCUUUCGCCUGUGACGAAGCGUGAGUGACGGUAAUGGGUAAAGAAGCACCGGCUAACUACGUGCCAGCAGCCGCGGUGAUACGUAGGGUGCGAGCGUUGUCCGGAUUUAUUGGGCGUAAAGGGCUCGUAGGUGGUUGAUCGCGUCGGAAGUGUAAUCUUGGGGCUUAACCCUGAGCGUGCUUUCGAUACGGGUUGACUUGAGGAAGGUAGGGGAGAAUGGAAUUCCUGGUGGAGCGGUGGAAUGCGCAGAUAUCAGGAGGAACACCAGUGGCGAAGGCGGUUCUCUGGGCCUUUCCUGACGCUGAGGAGCGAAAGCGUGGGGAGCGAACAGGCUUAGAUACCCUGGUAGUCCACGCUGUAAACGGUGGGUACUAGGUGUGGGGUCCAUUCCACGGGUUCCGUGCCGUAGCUAACGCUUUAAGUACCCCGCCUGGGGAGCACGGCCGCAAGGCUAAAACUCAAAGGAAUUGACGGGCCCCGCACAAGCGGCGGAGCAUGCGGAUUAAUUCGAUGCAACGCGUAGAACCUUACCUGGGUUUGACAUGGAUCGGGAGUGCUCAGAGAUGGGUGUGCCUCUUUUGGGGUCGGUUCACAGGUGGUGCAUGGCUGUCGUCAGCUCGUGUCGUGAGAUGUUGGGUUAAGUCCCGCAACGAGCGCAACCCUUGUUCACUGUUGCCAGCACGUUAUGGUGGGGACUCAGUGGAGACCGCCGGGGUCAACUCGGAGGAAGGUGGGGAUGACGUCAAGUCAUCAUGCCCCUUAUGUCCAGGGCUUCACGCAUGCUACAAUGGCUGGUACAGAGAGUGGCGAGCCUGUGAGGGUGAGCGAAUCUCGGAAAGCCGGUCUCAGUUCGGAUUGGGGUCUGCAACUCGACCUCAUGAAGUCGGAGUCGCUAGUAAUCGCAGAUCAGCAACGCUGCGGUGAAUACGUUCCCGGG
rnacentral:rRNA from 1 species